UUGAACGCUGGCGGCAGGCCUAACACAUGCCAGUCGAGCGGAUUAAGGGAGCUUGCUCCUGGAUUCAGCGGCGGACGGGUGAGUAAUGCCUAGGAAUCUGCCUGGUAGUGGGGGAUAACGUCCGGAAACGGGCGCUAAUACCGCAUACGUCCUGAGGGAGAAAGUGGGGGAUCUUCGGACCUCACGCUAUCAGAUGAGCCUAGGUCGGAUUAGCUAGUUGGUGGGGUAAAGGCCUACCAAGGCGACGAUCCGUAACUGGUCUGAGAGGAUGAUCAGUCACACUGGAACGGAGACACGGUCCAGACUCCUACGGGAGGCAGCAGUGGGGAAUAUUGGACAAUGGGCGAAAGCCUGAUCCAGCCAUGCCGCGUGUGUGAAGAAGGUCUUCGGAUUGUAAAGCACUUUAAGUUGGGAGGAAGGGCAGUAAGUUAAUACCUUGCUGUUUUGACGUUACCAACAGAAUAAGCACCGGCUAACUUCGUG
rnacentral:rRNA from 1 species